rnacentral:rRNA from 1 species
UGAAGAUCUUCGAAUGUCGGCUCUUCAGGGAUAAGGAUUGGCUCUGAAGAUUGAGAUAGUCGGGCUUGAUUGGGAAGCAAUAAUAUGGUUUAUGUACUCGUUCUGGGUAAAUUAGAAUGAAGACAAUGUGUUAAAAACAUUGGAUUAAUUCGUUCCCCGGAUAGUAGCUUACGUAACCAAUUGCGGAACUUUCUUGCUAAUAAUAUAUUAGAAAUUUUUUAUUAAAAAAAAAAUUUUUAUAUAUUUCUAACGGCUAUCAAUUAACAAUCAAUUCAGAACUGGCACGGACUUGGGGAAUCCGACUGUCUAAUUAAAACAAAGCAUUGUGAUGGCCCUAACGGGUGUUGACACAAUGUGAUUUCUGCCCAGUGCUCUGAAUGUCAAAGUGAAGAACUUCAAGUAAGCGCGGGUAAACGGCGGGAGUAACUAUGACUCUCUUAAGGUAGCCAAAUGCCUCGUCAUAUAAUUAGUGAC